UCUGAUAUUCUGAUGGUGAUAAAAGGAGAAUUUGUUAUUGUACAAAUUGUUGCAUAGAGCAAAGCAAAUCUUCUAAUGCAGUACGUUCCAUGUUUCCAUGUGAAGAAGUGGCGAGUUGACUUGCUUGUGCAUUAGCUGAACCCUAAACGCUCAAUUCGUAAUGCAGCAAGAACACAGGUCCCUUUUGUUUUGUUUGUUUCCUGGUUGACUUUUUUAUCAUCCUUUGCAAAGAUAUGAUAGUUGUAAGAAAAAACCUGUUCUCAUUUUCUCCUUUUUGUUUAACUACGAGUUAUAAUUCCUAACACUGUACUUUUCCACAGAAAUUCAAAUGGCCAUGUAUCACCUGUACACAGGCGCUGUCCGAUCAGCAAAGUUUAUAUAAUUCUUUGAAGGGUCAAAAUCUCAAUGCUGGCAGUUAAUUCCUUGGACUGUGUAAGUUCUGCAAGCUAACUUGUAUGGCUUUUCCGUCUUGAACCUGGACAACAUUAUUUUAUUUGUGCGCCAUAAUGUUCUAGAAGCUAUUGGUGUAAUUUCUUGGAAAGUUUUUUUCCGGUGAAAAGAAAAUCUAAAAGUUCUAUCCGGAUGGAUAAAUCUAAGCUAUUGGUGUAGAUUGUGGUAAAAGUUAAUCACUUUUGUCCAGUGACAUGAACAAAA
rnacentral:lncRNA from 1 species